GGUUCUGGCUCAGUGGCAGAGGGCUUGCCUCACACAUGUGAGGCACUGGGUUCAAUCCUCAGAACCA
rnacentral:tRNA from 1 species